GACGAACGCUGGCGGCGUGCUUAACACAUGCAAGUCGUACGGAAAGGCCCUGCUUGCAGGGUACUCGAGUGGCGAACGGGUGAGUAACACGUGGGUGAUCUGCCCUGCACUUCGGGAUAAGCUUGGGAAACUGGGUCUAAUACCGGAUAGGAGCCAUCUUUAGUGUGGUGGUUGGAAAGUUUUUUCGGUGUAGGAUGAGCUCGCGGCCUAUCAGCUUGUUGGUGGGGUAAUGGCCUACCAAGGCGGCGACGGGUAGCCGGCCUGAGAGGGUGUACGGCCACAUUGGGACUGAGAUACGGCCCAGACUCCUACGGGAGGCAGCAGUGGGGAAUAUUGCACAAUGGGCGCAAGCCUGAUGCAGCGACGCCGCGUGGGGGAUGAAGGCCUUCGGGUUGUAAACUCCUUUCGCUAGGGACGAAGCUUUUUUGUGACGGUACCUAGAUAAGAAGCACCGGCUAACUACGUG
rnacentral:rRNA from 1 species